rnacentral:rRNA from 1 species
GGGGGAUAUUGCGCAAUGGGGGCAACCCUGACGCAGCAACGCCGCGUGAAGGAUGAAGGUUUUCGGAUUGUAAACUUCUUUUAUUAAGGACGAAACUUGACGGUACUUAAUGAAUAGGCUCCGGCUAACUACGUGCCAGCAGCCGCGGUAAUACGUAGGGAGCAAGCGUUGUCCGGAUUUACUGGGUGUAAAGGGUGCGUAGGCGGCUUUGCAAGUCAGAUGUGAAAUCUAUGGGCUCAACCCAUAAACUGCAUUUGAAACUGUAGAGCUUGAGUGAAGUAGAGGCAGGCGGAAUUCCCCGUGUAGCGGUGAAAUGCGUAGAGAUGGGGAGGAACACCAGUGGCGAAGGCGGCCUGCUGGGCUUUAACUGACGCUGAGGCACGAAAGCGUGGGUAGCAAACAGGAUUAGAUACCCUGGUAGUCCACGCUGUAAACGAUGAUUACUAGGUGUGGGGGGUCUGACCCCUUCCGUGCCGGAGUUAACACAAUAAGUAAUCCACCUGGGGAGUACGGCCGCAAGGUUGAAACUCAAAGGAAUUGACGGGGGCCCGCACAAGCAGUGGAGUAUGUGGUUUAAUUCGAAGCAACGCGAAGAACCUUACCAGGUCUUGACAUCCAACUAACGAAGUAGAGAUACAUUAGGUGCCCUUCGGGGAAAGUUGAGACAGGUGGUGCAUGGUUGUCGUCAGCUCGUGUCGUGAGAUGUUGGGUUAAGUCCCGCAACGAGCGCAACCCUUGCUAUUAGUUGCUACGCAAGAGCACUCUAAUAGGACUGCCGUUGACAAAACGGAGGAAGGUGGGGACGACGUCAAAUCAUCAUGCCCCUUAUGACCUGGGCUACACACGUACUACAAUGGAUGUUAACAGAGGGAAGCAAGACAGCGAUGUGGAGCAAACCCCUAAAAACAUUCUCAGUUCAGAUUGCAGGCUGCAACCCGCCUGCAUGAAGAUGGAAUUGCUAGUAAUCGCGGAUCAGCAUGCCGCGGUGAAUACGUUCCCG